AAAUCUCUCCGUUUUCAUGCCAAACCGCUCAUCUUGUUUUCAAGCACAGCGUUUCGUUAGUGUAGGCUGCAUAAUUGGCAGACUGUAAAUAUUUUCUUAAUCAUCGAUAACUAUUUGAAGUAAACAAUCAACAAAUCACUCGUUGCAAAACCUGUCUUUUUCCGUUUGAAAAUGCUCAGCAUGUUUUCAAGCAAAGCAUUUCGCUAAUGUAUGCUGCAUAAUUGGCAGAUUGUUAAUCAUUUUAUGAAUCAUCACACAUUGAAAACCUGUCUUUUUCCGUAUGAAAAUGCUCACCAUGUUUUCAAGCACAGCAUUUCGCUAAUGUAAGCUGCAUUGUUGGCGAACUGUAGAAGAUCCCGCAAUCAUGAUAUGUGAAUUCAAAUCUUCAAUGUUAUGUGUUAAACUUGUCUACGUCUAGUGAUGCUCAAUGUUGUUUAUCUAAUGAUUAGUUUCUGUCACAUCACCUAGCAAGAGUGUGUCACCAUU
rnacentral:lncRNA from 1 species